GACGAACGCUUUUGGCGUGCUUAACACAUGCAAGUCGAACGGAAAGGCCCUGCUUUUGUGGGGUGCUCGAGUGGCGAACGGGUGAGUAACACGUGAGUAACCUGCCCUUGACUUUGGGAUAACUUCAGGAAACUGGGGCUAAUACCGGAUAGGAGCUCCUGCUGCAUGGUGGGGGUUGGAAAGUUUCGGCGGUUGGGGAUGGACUCGCGGCUUAUCAGCUUGUUGGUGGGGUAGUGGCUUACCAAGGCUUUGACGGGUAGCCGGCCUGAGAGGGUGACCGGCCACAUUGGGACUGAGAUACGGCCCAGACCCCUACGGGAGGCAGCAGUGGGGAAUAUUGCACAAUGGGCGGAAGCCUGAUGCAGCAACGCCGCGUGCGGGAUGACGGCCUUCGGGUUGUAAACCGCUUUCGCCUGUGACGAAGCGUGAGUGACGGUAAUGGGUAAAGAAGCACCGGCUAACUACGUGCCAGCAGCCGCGGUGAUACGUAGGGUGCGAGCGUUGUCCGGAUUUAUUGGGCGUAAAGGGCUCGUAGGUGGUUGAUCGCGUCGGAAGUGUAAUCUUGGGGCUUAACCCUGAGCGUGCUUUCGAUACGGGUUGACUUGAGGAAGGUAGGGGAGAAUGGAAUUCCUGGUGGAGCGGUGGAAUGCGCAGAUAUCAGGAGAAACACCAGUGGCGAAGGCGGUUCUCUGGGCCUUUCCUGACGCUGAGGAGCGAAAGCGUGGGGAGCGAACAGGCUUAGAUACCCUGGUAGUCCACGCUGUAAACGGUGGGUACUAGGUGUGGGGUCCAUUCCACGGGUUCCGUGCCGUAGCUAACGCUUUAAGUACCCCGCCUGGGGAGUACGGCCGCAAGGCUGAAACUCAAAGGAAUUGACGGGGCCCCGCACAAGCGGCGGAGCAUGCGGAUUAAUUCGAUGCAACGCGUAGAACCUUACCUGGGUUUGACAUGGAUCGGGAGUGCUCAGAGAUGGGUGUGCCUCUUUUGGGGUCGGUUCACAGGUGGUGCAUGCCUGUCGUCAGCUCGUGUCGUGAGAUGUUGGGUUAAGUCCCGCAACGAGCGCAACCCUUGUUCACUGUUGCCAGCACGUUAUGGUGGGGACUCAGUGGAGACCGCCGGGGUCAACUCGGAGGAAGGUGGGGAUGACGUCAAGUCAUCAUGCCCCUUAUGUCCAGGGCUUCACGCAUGCUACAAUGGCUGGUACAGAGAGUGGCGAGCCUGUGAGGGUGAGCGAAUCUCGGAAAGCCGGUCUCAGUUCGGAUUGGGGUCUGCAACUCGACCUCAUGAAGUCGGAGUCGCUAGUAAUCGCAGAUCAGCAACGCUGCGGUGAAUACGUUCCCGGG
rnacentral:rRNA from 1 species